AGAGUUUGAUCCUGGCUCAGGAUGAACGCUAGCGGCAGGCUUAACACAUGCAAGUCGAGGGGUAACGCGGGGUAGCAAUACUCUGGCGACGACCGGCGCACGGGUGCGUAACGCGUAUGCAACCUACCUGUAACAGGGGUAUAACGGAGUGAAAAUUCCACUAAUCCCCCAUAUUGUUAGAGAUUCGCAUGUUUCUCUAACGAAAGCUUCGGUGGUUACGGAUGGGCAUGCGUGACAUUAGGUAGUUGGCGGGGCAACGGCCCACCAAGCCGACGAUGUCUAGGGGAGCUGAGAGGCUUAUCCCCAACACUGGUACUGAGACACGGACCAGACUCCUACGGGAGGCAGCAGUGAGGAAUAUUGGUCAAUGGACGGAAGUCUGAACCAGCCAUGCCGCGUGGAGGAAGAAGGUCCUAUGGGUUGUAAACUGCUUUUAUGCGGGGAUAAACUUCAGCACGUGUGCUGUUUUGCAGGUACCGCAUGAAUAAGGACCGGCUAAUUCCGUGCCAGCAGCCGCGGUAAUACGGAAGGUCCGGGCGUUAUCCGGAUUUAUUGGGUUUAAAGGGAGCGCAGGCGGGCUGUCAAGCGUGCCGUGAAAUUUCGGGGCUCAACCCCGUUAAGCGGCGCGAACUGGCGGCCUUGGUUGCGGGAGAGGGAGGCGGAACUCGUGGUGUAGCGGUGAAAUGCAUAGAUAUCACGAAGAACCCCGAUUGCGAAGGCAGCCUCCCGGCCCGUGAACGACGCUCAUGCUCGAAGGCGCGGGUAUCAAACAGGAUUAGAUACCCUGGUAGUCCGCGCGGUAAACGAUGGACACUCGGGAUUUGCCCCUUUUUGGGUGAGUCCCCCAGCGAAAGCGUUAAGUGUCCCACCUGGGGAGUACGCCGGCAACGGUGAAACUCAAAGGAAUUGACGGGGGCCCGCACAAGCGGAGGAACAUGUGGUUUAAUUCGAUGAUACGCGAGGAACCUUACCCGGGCUCGAACGGUGCAGGAAGGAUCUAGAGAUAGUGACGCCCUUCGGGGCCUGCAUCGAGGUGCUGCAUGGUUGUCGUCAGCUCGUGUCGUGAGAUGUUGGCUCAAGUGCCAUAACGAGCGCAACCCUUGCCGCCAGUUACCAUCAAGUGAAGUUGGGGACUCUGGCGGGACUGCCACCGUAAGGUGUGAGGAAGGCGGGGAUGACGUCAAAUCAGCACGGCCCUUACGUCCGGGGCCACACACGUGUUACAAUGGGGGGCACAGCGAGCUGGACCAGGGCGACCUGGUUCGAAUCAUGAAAUCCCCUCCCAGUUCGGACCGGAGUCUGCAACCCGACUCCGCGAAGCCGGAUUCGCUAGUAAUCGCGCAUCAGCCAUGGCGCGGUGAAUACGUUCCCGGGCCUUGUACUCACCGCCCGUCA
rnacentral:rRNA from 1 species